AACGCUAGCGGCAGGCCUAACACAUGCAAGUCGAGGGGUAACAUAGAGUGCUUGCACUUUGAUGACGACCGGCGCACGGGUGAGUAACGCGUAUACAAUCUGCCUCAUACUAGGGGAUAGCCCAGAGAAAUUUGGAUUAAUACCCUAUAGUAUCAUUUAGAGUCAUCUCUUUAUGAUUAAAGGUUACGGUAUGAGAUGAGUAUGCGUUCUAUUAGUUAGUAGGUGAGGUAACGGCUCACCUAGACCACGAUAGAUAGGGGCCCUGAGAGGGGGAUCCCCCACACUGGUACUGAGACACGGACCAGACUCCUACGGGAGGCAGCAGUGAGGAAUAUUAGACAAUGGGCGAAAGCCUGAUCUAGCCAUGCCGCGUGCAGGAUGACGGCCCUAUGGGUUGUAAACUGCUUUUAUACAGGAAGAAAAAACUCUACGUGUAGAGUCUUGACGGUACUGUAAGAAUAAGGAUCGG
rnacentral:rRNA from 1 species